AUUGAACGCUGGCGGCAGGCCUAACACAUGCAAGUCGAGCGGAUGAAGGGAGCUUGCUCCUGGAUUCAGCGGCGGACGGGUGAGUAAUGCCUAGGAAUCUGCCUGGUAGUGGGGGAUAACGUCCGGAAACGGGCGCUGAUACCGCAUACGUCCUGAGGGAGAAAGUGGGGGAUCUUCGGACCCCACGCUAUCAGAUGAGCCUAGGUCGGAUUAGCUAGUUGGUGGGGUAAAGGCCUACCAAGGCGACGAUCCGUAACUGGUCUGAGAGGAUGAUCAGUCACACUGGAACUGAGACACGGUCCAGACUCCUACGGGAGGCAGCAGUGGGGAAUAUUGGACAAUGGGCGAAAGCCUGAUCCAGCCAUGCCGCGUGUGUGAAGAAGGUCUUCGGAUUGUAAAGCACUUUAAGUUGGGAGGAAGGGCAGUAAGUUAAUACCUUGCUGUUUUGACGUUACCAACAGAAUAAGCACCGGCUAACUUCGUG
rnacentral:rRNA from 1 species